rnacentral:rRNA from 1 species
CAGUAGCCGCGGUAAUACGUAGGGUGCAAGCGUUAAUCGGAAUUACUGGGCGUAAAGCGUGCGCAGGCGGUCCGCUAAGACAGAUGUGAAAUCCCCGGGCUUAACCUGGGAACUGCAUUUGUGACUGGCGGGCUAGAGUAUGGCAGAGGGGGGUAGAAUUCCACGUGUAGCAGUGAAAUGCGUAGAGAUGUGGAGGAAUACCGAUGGCGAAGGCAGCCCCCUGGGCCAAUACUGACGCUCAUGCACGAAAGCGUGGGGAGCAAACAGGAUUAGAUACCCCUGUAGUCCCUGUCUCUUAUAC